rnacentral:rRNA from 1 species
GAUGAACGCUGGCGGCGUGCCUAAUACAUGCAAGUCGAGCGAACGGACGAGAAGCUUGCUUCUCUGAUGUUAGCGGCGGACGGGUGAGUAACACGUGGAUAACCUACCUAUAAGACUGGGAUAACUUCGGGAAACCGGAGCUAAUACCGGAUAAUAUUUUGAACCGCAUGGUUCAAAAGUGAAAGACGGUCUUGCUGUCACUUAUAGAUGGAUCCGCGCUGCAUUAGCUAGUUGGUAAGGUAACGGCUUACCAAGGCAACGAUGCAUAGCCGACCUGAGAGGGGGAUAGGCCGCACUGGAACUGAGACACGGUCCAGACUCCUACGGGAGGCAGCAGUAGGGAAUCUUCCGCAAUGGGCGAAAGCCUGACGGAGCAACGCCGCGUGAGUGAUGAAGGUCUUCGGAUCGUAAAACUCUGUUAUUAGGGAAGAACAUAUGUGUAAGUAACUGUGCACAUCUUGACGGUACCUAAUCAGAAAGCCACGGCUAACUACGUG